ACAAAGAUUAAGGCAGGACUACAUAACAUGCAAGCCCCAUUUAAGUCAGCUGAUAUUAAUAAAAUGCAAUAUUUACCCUAUUUCCAGCCAUGUGACAGCACUUUUAAUCAGCAAUUGAUCCUGUCAUGAGUGUGGGGGGACUGGAUGACAUCUUGAUGACAUCUUGAGGUCCCUUCCAGUUCUAUGAUUCUCUGGGAUUUUAAAGCACCUAUUUUUUCUGGAUAUAAACUUAACCUUGAAUCUGUUAGUGUUGGAAAUAUAUUUAGUUAGAGAUAGGACAAGCUACUGUAUUAAUCAUUGCAGUAUGUAUGCUGUCCUGCCAAGAGUAGCCUGUGAUGAACUUUCAAUUUCUGACACCUCGUAUGAGUAUUGCCUAAGCAGUACUUGAUUACGCUUUAUGGCUGAGGCUACACCAUUGUGCUGAUAAUUAUUAUUUAUUGUUUGAAGUGUAUUAACAGUGUUGUCUUUUUUUAGGUUGUUUGUUGCUCUGUUCAGUGCCAUUUGAGGAAUGAAAUGGAUUGAAGACGCUCACUUGCAUUGUUGGCAUCAAAAGGACUGUAAAUCUCACUAAUUCAAAUUGGAUUCACUUAAAGGUGCUUGCAAUUAAGGAUGGCAGGUAUAUUGUAUAUUUGAGAUGUGACUAUUAAAAAAGUGAAACCA